GCGUCUGGCCAUUUUUUGUACAGUGUGGGCGAUUCAGAGCAUGUGGGAACGGCAACUGUGUGUAGAGCCGUUCGUACAGUAUGUCUGGCACUUAAACAGUUCUUACCCACAUUUGUGCAGUUCCCUGGCCAUAAACCUCUGCUUGUUAUUAAAGAUGAAUUCCACAGAGUGGCAGGGUUUCCAAAUGUAAUUGGGUGCAUUGAUGGCACUCACAUUCCUAUUAAAGCUCCACCAAUAAAUGAGGGAGACUAUGUUAAUAUGAAAUCUAUUCAUAGUAUCAAUGUGCAGGUAACAACUUAAUUUUUUCCCUUCUUAAAAUCAUUAAAGUCAUUACUUUUUCCACUAACUAGGUAAUAUGUGAGGCAACCCAAAUCAUUACCAAUGUCGAGGCAAAAUGGCCAGGAUCUGUGCAUGAUGCCAGAAUUUUCCGCGAGUCAUCAUUAUGCCAGACAUUUCAGCAGGGACAGUACAAUGGUUACUUGCUGGGGGACAGAGGAUACCCUUGUCUGCCCUAUUUAAUGACACCCUACCCUGAACCUGAGCCUGGACCACAGACACGGUUUAACCUGGCUCACAGCCGAACACGGGCCAAGGUGGAGAUGACUAUAGGGAUCCUCAAAUCUCGGUUUCAGUGUCUGUGUGGGCUCCGGGUUAGUCCAGAGAGGGCAUGCGACAUUAUAGUGGCUUGUGUUGUGCUUCACAAUAUUGCCACUAUAAGAGGAGAGAGCCACCCUCCUUGUAUUGAGGAAGAUGGCCCAGAGGAACACCUACAGAUUUUAGAGGCCAACAGAGACAGAAGACUUUUGAGAGACAGGAUCUGUCAAAAUUACUUUUAUUAAUUUUUUUGCACUGGUCUGCCAGGCAGUUUAUUUCUUUGUUUCCUGAA